CAAUCUCCGUCGUUUGGGAUUUAAAAUUUUUAGGAGGUGCAUGUCAGCCUAUGGAGAGGGGCUCUGAGAGGGUAUGCAGCAAUGCAGAGGGCUCAGC